UCUGCGGAGAGCAGCGGUCAUGGACUGGUCAGGGAGCAGCGCAGAGGCAGAGGGUCCACCAGCUCUGAGCAGAUCAUGGACACAGCGGCAAAACGCAUCGGCGGUUCAUCUGCGAUCAAAUAGGACCAGCCUCAAAGGAUGUAGCUCAGCUGGCCCUAGAGCAGGUGACCCAGGACCCACACAUCAAAGAACUGGCGGAAGUUCUCAAGCGCAUCGCACAACAGGUGGACAAUGACAAGGAGCUGCAGAGGAUGAUGGGAAUGGACAGAGUCUUCACUGCUGAGGACUUUCUCAAAGUGGCACGCCAUGUAUUUUCAGACGGCAUCACCG